rnacentral:rRNA from 1 species
GACGAACGCUGGCGGCGUGCUUAACACAUGCAAGUCGAACGGAAAGGCCCUGCUUUUGUGGGGUGCUCGAGUGGCGAACGGGUGAGUAACACAUGAGUAACCUGCCCUUGACUUUGGGAUAACUUCAGGAAACUGGGGCUAAUACCGGAUAGGAGCUCCUGCUGCAUGGUGGGGGUUGGAAAGUUUCGGCGGUUGGGGAUGGACUCGCGGCUUAUCAGCUUGUUGGUGGGGUAGUGGCUUACCAAGGCCUUGACGGGUAGCCGGCCUGAGAGGGUGACCGGCCACAUUGGGACUGAGAUACGGCCCAGACUCCUACGGGAGGCAGCAGUGGGGAAUAUUGCACAAUGGGCGGAAGCCUGAUGCAGCAACGCCGCGUGCGGGAUGACGGCCUUCGGGUUGUAAACCGCUUUCGCCUGUGACGAAGCGUGAGUGACGGUAAUGGGUAAAGAAGCACCGGCUAACUACGUG